UACGGGGGGAGCAAGCGUUGUUCGGAUUUACUGGGCGUAAAGGGCGCGUAGGCGGCCAGCACAAGUCAGUUGUGAAAUCUCCGGGCUUAACUCGGAAAGGUCAACUGAUACUGUGCGGCUAGAGUGCAGAAGGGGCAACUGGAAUUCUCGGUGUAGCGGUGAAAUGCGUAGAUAUCGAGAGGAACACCUGCGGCGAAGGCGGGUUGCUGGGCUGACACUGACGCUGAUGCGCGAAAGCCAGGGGAGCAAACGGGG
rnacentral:rRNA from 1 species